UAAAAACUAUCUAUGAUAAAUAAUAUGUACUAUAUGUACUAUGAAUAAUAUUGAAGUUCAGUAAAUGAUGUAUACAUCAUUGUGAUGAUGAUACAUCAUUUAUACCCCUUAAAUAAUAAAAAUAUUAAAUGCAUUUCAAAACUUUUAUAACUAUUAUUAUUAUUAGAAAUACUAUGCUAUAAAUGUUACAAUGUGCAAACAAUGUUUACUUUCACUUUAUUAUAUUAUAAAGUAUCUAAGUAAUCACUUUAUCAUGUCUGUAUAUUUUCUUUUACAAUGUGUACCACCUAUCUAUUAUUAGCCUAACUAAAUUAUAAUUUUCAGGCGUAGUCAUUAUAAUCGUCGACCUAAAUAUCAUACCAAACAACAAUCAAUUUUAUUGUUUUUAUCGUCUUUUGUAUACGAAU